AAUCUGUAAUAAAUACCAUUAAUAUACAGUGCUGACCAAAAGUACUGGCACUCCUGCAAUUCUGUCAGCUAAUGCUCAAUUUCUCCCAGAAAAUGAUUGCAAUUACAAAUGCUUUGGUGGCAAUAUCUUCAUAUAUUUUGCUUGCAAUGAAAAAAAACACAAAAGAGAAUGAAAAAAAAUUAAAUCAUUAUCAUUUUACACAAAACUCAAACAAAAAUGGGACGGACAAAAGCAUUGGCACCCUCAGCCUAAUACUUGGUAGCACAACCUUUAGACAAAAUAACUGUGAACAACUGCUUCUGGUAUCCAUCAAUGAGUUUCUUACAAUGCUUUGCUGGAAUUUUAGACAAUUCUUCUUUGGCCAACUGCUCCAGUUCUCUGAGAUUUGAAGGGUUCCUUCUCCAAACUGCCAUUUUCAGAUCUCUUCACAGGUGUUCAAUGGGAUUCUGGUCUUGAGUCAUUGCUGGCCACUUUGGACGUCUCCAGUGCUUUCUCUCAAACCAUUUUCUAGUGCUUUUUGAUGUGUGUUUUGGGUCCGGCUGGAAGACGCAUGACCUCUGAGGGAGACCCAUCAUUCUCACACCGGGCCCUACAUUGUGCUGCAAAAUUUGUAGAUAAUCUUCAGACUUCAUAAUGCCAUGCUCACGGUCAAGCAGUCCAGUGCCAGAGGAAGCAAACCCAAAACAUCAGGGAACCUCCGCCAUGUUUGACUGUGGGGACUGUGUUCUUUUCUUUGAAGGCCUCGUUUUUUUUCCUGUAAAUUCUAUGUUGAUGUCUUUUCCCAAAAAGCUAUAUUUUUGUCUCAUCUGACCAGAGAACAUUCUUCCAAAACAUUUUUGGCUUUCUCAGGUAAGUUUUGGCAAACUCCAGCCUGGCUUUUUAUGUCUCUGGGUCAGAAAUGGGGUCUUCCUGGGUAUCCUACCACAGAGUCCCUUUUCAUUCAGACGCUGGCGAAUAGUAUGGGUUGACACGGUUUUUACCCAUGGACUGCAGGACAGCUUGAACUUGUUUGGAUGUUAAUCGAGGUUCUUUACCCACCAUCCGCACACAUUUUUUGUUGAAAUCUCUUGUCAAUUUUUGUUUUCCGUCCACAUCUAGGGACGUUAACCAUAGUGCCAUGGGCUUUACACUUAUUGAUGACACUGCACGGUAGAUACAGGAACAUUCAGUUCUUUGGAGAUGGACUUUUAGCCUUGAGAUUGCCCAUGCUUCCUCACAAUUGUGCUUCUCAAGUCCUCAGACAGUUCUUUGGUCUUCUUUCUUUUCUCCAUGCUCAAUGUGGUACACAGAAGGACACAGGACAGAAGUUGAGUCAACUUUAAUACAUUUUAACUGGCUGCAAAUGUGAUUUAGUUAUUGCCACCACCUGUUAUGUGCCACAGGUGCUGUUAAUUACACAAAUUAGAGAAGCAUCAUAUGAUUUUUCAAAGGGUGCCAAUCUCUUUGUCCGGCCCUUUUUUGGAGUUUGGUGUAAAAUGAUAAUGAUUUAAGUAUAACAUGAGGAGCAUGGAGUUCUGCUGGGUGUACAAAGUACACUUCUUCUGGUGCUCUUCGGUGUGGGGAUCAAAAAAGUGACAAUUAAAAAAACUGAGGCACUCAAGAAGUGCAAAAAAUAAAAAGCCUUUAUUCAAUCAUUCAAACAGCCCCACAGCAUCACUGAUCCACCCCCAUACUUCACAGUGGGUAUGAGGUGCUGUCUACACGCCAACAAGCUGUUUGGGAGGCAUGCACGGAGAAAACCUUUUCUCACUCACAAUCAUAAACGCAAACGUCUGGAGUUCGCCAAGCGGUAUUGGGGCUUCAACUGGGACCGUGUGCUUUGGCCAGAUAAGACCAAGAUUUAGCUGUUUGGCAACAAACACUCUAAGUGGGUCUGGCGUGCCACGAAAGAAAAAGCACCUCAUACCCACUGUGAAGUAUGGGGGUGGGUCAGUGAUGCUGUGGGGCUGUUUCGCUUCCAAAGGGCCUGGGAACCUUGUUAGGGUGCAUGGCAUCAUGAAUACUUUGAAAUACCAGGACAUUUAAAAUAGAAAUCUGUUGCCCUCUGCCCGAAAGCUGAAGAUGGGUCAUCACUGGGUCUUUCAGCAAGACACUGACCCUAAACAUAUGGCCAAAUCUACACAGAAAUGGUUCACAAGACACAAAAUCAAGCUCCUCCCAUGGCCAUCUCAGUCCCCAGACCUCAACCCCAUUGAAAACCUGUAGGGUGAGCUGAAGAGGAGAGUACAGAGGAGAGGACCCAGGUCUCUGGAUGAUUUAGAGAGAUUCUGCAAAGAGGAAUGGCUGAAGAUCCCUCUUUCUGUCUUUUCCCAUCUUGUGAAACAUUAUAGGAGAAGAUUAGGUGCUGUUUUAUUGGCAAAAGGGGGUUGUACAAAGUAUUAACACCAGGGGGGCUAGUAAUCGUGACACACAUUAAUUAAUGUCAAGUAAUUAUUUCUUUACGUGGGAUUUUUUCCCCCACUGAAUAAAUGCACUUGUAUUGAAGGUUGGAUUUUUCUUUUUUUCCCCAUUAAGGUCCCAUGUUUUUUAGAAAAAAAAAUUAUUAGAAGCUAAAAAACACAUAAUUAUUAUAAAUCCAAUAAUUAUGCUGGGCACUGUACUUAUCUGCAGAAAUGCGAAGGGUGUACUCACUUUUGUGAUACACUGUAUUUUAAGAAUAUUGACAGAAUAUUUUGUUGUUUUCAGUUGGACAAAAAAAUAUCGGUGUUUUUGUCAAGAGAGAUAUGACCACAUUAAAGCCAAUUUAACUUAGAAAAAAAAAAUGAAUAUGACAGUUUUGGCGAAUAUUUGGGAAACCGCCCCUUACCGUCCUGGAUUUUUUAAAUUUGUAAGUUAUGCGAUUUUGUCAAAAAUUGUAGGACAAGUAGCGUUUUGAGAAAUUUUAGUCUUUUUUUUUUUUUUCCAAAAAAAUAUCCAAAUUUAUGGGCAAACGGAAUUUUUUUUUGGGGUCGUUUGAAAAAGUCCCUGUGUAUCGUGAAAAUUCCAAUCAUUUUGAUAUUAGAAUUGUGACAGUCGAUCAAACGGUUUGGGUUGUGCGGCCCGCCGAAGAAAAGCCAUUCAAAAAAAGAAAAAAGUAAUAUAUGCAGGGCCGGCCCAGCCUAUACGCAGACUAUGCAGCUGCUUCGGGCCCCUGACCACUAGGGGGCCCCCAAUCUGGCAAUUGUUUAAUUUAUAUUCUAUUUUGUUUACUACUGUUUGCUUUAUUUGACUUUUGUGAGUUUUGAUACUUGAUUACAAGCUUGAAAAAAAUAAAAGUUCUUCCUGAAGUUCUUUCUUUCCUGUUUUAGGAAAAGGUUUGGCUCUAUCUACUGUAAGUACUUGGGGUGAGAAGUUUGAAGUAUGCAGUUCAACAAAACCUGAUUAAUAUACAAAAUAUGGACGCAUGGGUUGGCUUGCAUGUAUGGGUUUCACAGUAUACUGUGACGAAAUGGUGGACCAAAAUUAUGGGCCCCUUUGCAUUAUUUUGCUUAGGGCCCCAAAAUGGCCUGGGCCGGCCCUGAUUAUAUGUUGCAAAGCCCCAUCUAAAAAUGUGUGUGUGUUUGGUGAUGUUGGCGAGUGUAAUUGUUGGUACUUUAGUGACGGUCCCUGACGCUUGCCUAGCCCCGCCCACUGGCAGAAUGGUGGGAGAUGGACUGGGAGGGAGACACCGGCUUACGACGUCAAAGGAGUACGCAAACGCACACACACAUACUACACACCGAAACACGCUUAGAGGAUCGGACAGGAGAACCAACAGACUGCCAAUUCCCUGCGGUCUACUGAAGGAAGCAGAAAAAAAUCCAUCUGUCCCAACACAUUCACAGCGUUGACUGACUUUUUUGUUUAUUUUUGUUUUACAAUCGCAAAGGAAAGAAAAGAAAAAUCCGCGGAGCAUCUCGCAAAGAGGGCACAACAACAACAGAUUUCAAAACCAGGAGAAACUCGCUCUUUCCCGUAUGAAGCGUUGUCAUUGGCCUUAUUCAGAAUUGGAUGUUCAAACAAAAAAAUCCAAAGGCACUACUUGUCAAAUGAAUUGAAUCGUUGAGAUCGAACAAGUCUUGGGAGCGGAAGACAGGAGGACGUCCACUAUUUGCGUCGAUUCUUUGCCAAGAGCAGCACCACAGACUCUCAAUGAAGGAGCCUGAUGCAAUCAAGCUCUUCAUUGGGCAAAUACCCCGAAACCUGGAGGAAAAAGAUCUCAAGCCCAUCUUUGAACAAUUCGGCAAGAUCUAUGAGCUGACUGUCAUAAAGGACAAGUACACAGGAAUGCACAAAGGAUGCGCCUUCCUGACGUACUGCGCACGUGAGUCGGCCCUCAAAGCCCAGAAUGCACUGCACGAGCAAAAGACGCUUCCAGGGAUGAACCGCCCAAUCCAGGUGAAGCCAGCAGACAGCGAGAGCAGAGGGGAAGACAGGAAGCUGUUUGUGGGUAUGCUGGGAAAACAACAGACGGACCCCGAUGUGAGAAAGAUGUUUGAACCCUUUGGCAGCAUCGAGGAGUGCACUGUGCUCCGCGGGCCCGACGGUACCAGCAAAGGGUGUGCAUUUGUAAAGUUCCAGAACAACGUAGAGGCCCAGGCUGCUAUCAACGCUCUCCAUGGAAGUCGUACUCUACCUGGAGCUUCAUCCAGUCUGGUUGUUAAGUUUGCCGAUUCAGAGAAGGAGCGGGGGCUUCGGCGAAUGCAGCAGGUGGCCUCUCAGCUGGGUGUCAUCAGUCCUAUGACCCUGCACCUCGGGGCCUACAACGCCUACACGCAAGCUUUAAUGCAGCAGCAGGCACUGGUAGCGCAGUCAGCUUACCUCUCUCCUGUUGCCACGGUGGCGGCCGUUCAGAUGCAACAGUUAGCCGCCCUCAACCCCAGUAGCAUCAUCGCCACACCGAUCGCAUCCAUCACCCCCUCCUCAGGUACCAGUACACCACCCUCCAUUGCCGCCACACCUGUUCCUGCUCUACCUGCACCAAUUGCAGUGAGCAGCUACCCUUCUGUGGCAGCUCCACCCAAUGGCCAAUCAGCCACUGAGGCUCUGUACACCAACGGAGUCCACGCCUAUCAAGCUCAGAGUCCGGUGCUGGAUCCACUGCAGCAAGCUUACACAGGCAUGCAGCAUUAUACAGCUACCUAUCCUGCUGCCUACAGCCUGGUGGGGCAGCCAUUCCCCCAUCAGCCCACUCUGGUAGCUCAGCAGCCCCAGCAGCCGCAGCAACUACAACAACGUGAAGGUCCUGAAGGCUGCAACAUCUUCAUCUACCACCUGCCUCAGGAGUUCACCGAUUCUGAGAUCCUGCAAAUGUUCUUGCCCUUUGGAAAUGUCAUCUCGGCCAAGGUCUUCGUUGACCGUGCUACCAACCAAAGCAAAUGCUUCGGUUUUGUGAGUUUCGACAACCCGUCCAGUGCUCAGACUGCCAUCCAGGCUAUGAAUGGCUUCCAGAUAGGCAUGAAGAGACUGAAGGUGCAGCUGAAAAGGCCCAAGGAUGCCAACAGACCUUACUGAAGAAGACCCGUCCCGUCUACAUACAUAAAUCGUGGAGACGUGCGUCGCUAUGGCUACGGUCGCUUAGCAACCGCUAAAACCUCCCCCUUCCUUCUCACUGCGUCGACAAUUUAGGAGUUCAAUCAAGAAAACCACCUCGGGAUGUCCCAGCCUUGUUUGGUUGUUUGACCAACUAUAAUAGCACAUAGGAGCAACACUUCACACACACAAACAAACAGUGUUACACGUUUUCUAUACGUACAGCUAAUAAAACAACAGCUACUGCAGUAAAUAUCAUCAAGGAAUAUACAUUGGCAAAGUGUAUCAGAAGUGCUCCAAGAAUUCCUAUCAUUCCAUUGCUGGAUUUGUUUUAUGAUGUACAUAAUCUACUGGCAAGUUCUAAUCUUCAUGUUAAAAAAAAAUAUCACUAAUGUGAUUCUACUGAACAGGGUCCUGUUGUAUAGUGUGAUUUUGUGAUCUAGAUGGUCGGCUCUAAACUAUGGAGGACCAAAUGGGACAAAAUGAAAUCUAAAUACUUAAAUGCGUCAUUAAUUGAUUAAAAUGGGAAUUCAAUACUUUAAUUCAGAAAAAUACAAGUUCAUUUAUGUAAAAACAGCAUUUUUUCACUAUUUAAAGCAACACUAGGUAACUUUUCAACCUUUAUAAAAAUAUUUGCUUAACUUUUGUGAUAUGUCGACUGACAACUAGUUGAAUGACACCUCUUUUAUAUCUUGAGUGGGUCUGUAUCGCUUUCACCGGCACUUAUUAACUUUGAGGAGGGUGGCAGGAACCCUGCCACACAUAAAAAAAACUAUUUUUAGGGCAUUUAUGGGGUCACUUCCUGUUGAUUUUCAUGCAUUUAUGGGUCUUUUCCUGUUAAUUUUGGGUUACUGAACAGGAAGUGAUGCAAGAAUGUCCAAAUAAUAUAUGGAAAGUGAUUCAAAAUCACCGGAAGUGACCCCAAAAUCCCUCCGUAUCAACCGGAAGUGACCCUAAAUGAACAGGAAGUGUACCCGAAUUGAUCCAAAAUCAACAGGAAGUGACUCGAUACCUAAAGGAAGUCCGAUAUGCCUCAAAAUCAACACUCGUCACAGCAAAGCUGCCAUCGCAAUUUUCCCAGAAAUUGCCGUUUCUAGUUAAAUAGUGAGUUUUUUUUUUAUUACAUUAAAUGGACUCGUAUUUUAGUGAAUGAAUGGCACUUUUAUUUAAUUAAUUUCCACACAUUGAAGUAUUUAUGUAAACAUGUAUUUAUAUACAAUGGUAUAAAAAAGUAUCUGAACCUUUUGGAAUUUCUCACAUUUCUGCAUACAAUCACCAUCAAAUGUGAUCUUUGUCAAAAUCACACAGAUGAAAAUACAGUGUCUGCUUUAACUAAAACCACCCAAACAUAUAUAGGUUUUCAUAUUUUAAUGAGGAACACAUGCAAACAAUGACAGAAGAGAGAAAAAUAAGCAAGUGAACCCUCUGCCUCAGGAGACUUCAAGAGCAAUUGAAACCAAUUUUUACCAAACAUUUGAAGUCAGGUGUGUGCCCAAUCACUGAUGAGUGGUUUAAAGCUGCCCUGCCCUCUAUAAAUCACACACCUGGUAAGAAUUGUCUUGAUGAGAAGCAAUGUCUGAUCUGCAUCAUGGCUCGGUCAAAAGAGCUGUCUGAAGACCUGCGAUCAAGGAUUUUUGAUUUGUAUGAAGCUGGGAAAGGAUACAAAACAAUGUCUAAAAGUCUGGAUGUUCAUCAAUCUGCCUAAGGAAACUUAGGAGCAGUCGAAACAAAUUUUUACCAAAAAUGUUAAGUAAGAUGUGUGCCCAAUCACUGAUGAGUGGUUUAAACACUAGAACUACCCAGGGUAGAUCAGUUGAUACAAAUCACUUUUGUAACCAGAGAAAGGUCAUCCGACCCUAAUCAGCAUAUCAUUUGUGAACACUGAGGUCCUCAUUAGUCAUUCCCAUUCACACUUGCAAAACCACAGGGAUGGAUUGCUCCAAUUAGCAUCUUGACUGUUUGCAGGGCAGGGCUGCCUUGGCUUUGUUGGACAAUGGACCGCUCAGGCAGGCAGUCGGGCAGACAACCUUUUUACAUAUUCCAAAAGCUGCAGUUUUCCUACAGUAUGUACUGUAUACUGAAGCUUGUGUUUGCUGUGACAAAACAGCUGUUUCAGCUGCAUUGGAAAGUUCUUUGGUCAUUGUGUGCUUCAACAUAUAUAAACUGUGAACCUUGACAACUGAAUGUUGGACUUGUCAAGACAAAGUAAAGGUGCUUGAUGGGAUUUGUCACAGAUGUUCUAGCACUCUUCUCAAGUGUAGACAGUCUGGUUUAGCUACAGUUCUGGAUGCUAGUCGUAGUUUCAUGCCACAUGGCCCUCUCAUCAUUUUUACACUAACCCAGGAGUUAGCAAGUCUGGAUUUAAAAAUAUUCAAGAUGCUAAUUGCAGGUAUUCAGAGUGAAACCCCCCCUUCACACCUAGGCUGCUUGAUUGCUUGUUUGAGUUGUCUAUUGUUUGACAAAGCCAAGUAGUCAGUUUGAUAUCGGGGUCAUUUGACAGUGUUAAAGCUGACCUGCCCAUUAUAAAACACACACCUGGUAAAAAAAAAUGUCUUGAUGAUAACCAUUGUCUGAUAGGCAUCAUGGCUUGUUCGAAAGAGCUGUCUGAAGAGAUGUGAUCAGGGAUUGUUGAGUUGUAUAAUGUUGGGAAAGGAUACAAAACCAUCUGUAAAAGUCUGGAUGUUCAUCAAUCGUCAGUCAGAGAAGCUGUCUACAAAUGGAGAGAGUUUGGCACUGUUGCUUCUCUCCCAGGAAGCGGCCGUCCACCAAAGAUGAUGCCAAGAAAUCAGCGCAGAAUACUCAGAGAGGUAAAAAAAGAACCCUAGAGUGUCAGCUAAAGACUUACAGUAAUCGCUGGGACAGUCCAAUAUCUCCGUGUACACAUCAACUAUAUGUAAAACUAUGGCAAAGAAUGGUGUUGAUGGGAGGACUCCACUGAGGAAGCCACUGCUAUCUUAAAAAAAAAUAUUGUUGCUCGUUUAAUGUUCGCAAAAAGGCACUUAGGACACUCCACAGACGUUUUGGUAAAAUAUUUUGUGGACUGAUGAAACCAAAGUUGAAUUGUUCGGGAGUAACACACAAUGUCAUGUGUGGAAGAAAAAUGGCACAGCUCACCAACAUCAACAACUCAUCCCCACCGUGAAGCAUGGUGGAGGGAGCAUUAUGUUUUGGGGCUGUUUUGCUGCUUCAGGGUCUGGAUAACUUGCAAUCAUUAAUGGAAGAAUAAAUUCAAACGUUUAUCAGGAUUUUUUGCAAGAAAAUCUAAGGCAGUCUGUCAGACAGUUGAAGCUUAAAAGCUGCAACAAGACAAUGAUCCAAAACACAGAAGUAAAUCAACUCCAGAAUGGUUUCAGAAGAACAAAAUACACGUUCUGGAGUCGCCAAGUCAAACUCCAGACUUGAACCCCAUUGAGAUGCUGUGGCAUGACCUAAAGACCGCGAUUCAUGCCAGAAAUCCCAUGAAUCUGACUAAACUACAGCAGUUUUGUAGAGAAGAAUGGGCCAAGAUUAGUCCUGAUCAAUAUGCCAGACUGAUCUGCAGCUACAGGGAGCGCCUGGUUGAAGUUAUUACUGCCAAAGGGGGGCACAAAAUAUUAAAUGUGAGGGUUCACUCACUUAUUUUUGCCCCGUCUGUCAUUAUUUGCAUACUAUCCUCAUUAAAAUAUGAAAACCUAUAAAUGUUUGAGUGGUUUUAGUUAAAGCAGACACUGUUUUUUCAUCUGUGUGAUUUUGACAAAGAUCAAAUCACAUUUGAGGGUGAUUUUAUGCAGAAAUGUGAGAAAUUCUAAAAUGUUCCGAUACUUUUUCAUACCACUGUAUUUCAUUCUGUCCCAUUUGGUCCUUCAUAAUAAACAGUCGGCGGGAAAAGAAAAUCUAUUCUGUAUGAUUACCACUGGUAACUUUGUUAAGUAGAAGUAGUUUGAUUAUUUAUUUAUACGUAAAUGAAUAUCAUGAUGAGAAUUGGAUGGAUUUCUCCAGUCUGUACAUACCUUCGUUAAGGCGAAUAAGUAAAAAACAUUUUUGCUUCCACUACUUUUCAGCUUUACAAAGUGGUGGGAAUUUUUCUAUCUUUAUUUUUUACUUUUAAUUUAUUCGGCAAUGAAUUUAAAGGGGAGUGAUGUGUGUUUUGUUUUUUAUUUAAGAAUUUAUGACUCUUUAAUUAACUUCAAAACAAGGAAUACACUUAUUAUAGAGUUUAAAUGACCUGCUGUAAAUGUAAGUUAAAAAGAAAAACAACAAUGUUUCUUUAUUUAUUCUCUACAAUGGCUGUUUUAAAACACAUCUUUAAAAGAAAAUAAAGUACGAUUUAGAAGAAAAGAUG